CUCCCCUGGGGGACGGAACUUCCGGUGGACGUUCCAUCGGGGGGCGGAGCCACUGGGUCUGGACCAAUCGCAGGCCCGCUUCUUGCCAGGCGCGCGGGCUUAUUUUCCAAUCAGCGAGGGCCGUCGUCGCUCGGGCAACAGCGUCCCGGAGACGCCGUGUGGGCUGGGCCUCCCUCCGCGGCCCGGCGGCCUGGGGUUCCGCGCACCGCACCGCGGAGGGCCCGGAGAGGCGGACGCCGACGAGGGCCCCGGGGGAGGUGGCGCGGGCCGCGGCUCUCGGACCCCACGCGCGAGCGCAAGGGCCUGGGAGGGCUGGGCGGGCCGCCGUGAGGGCCCCACCGCUCUGAGACGGCCGGCGCUGCUGCCCACCGCAGAACUCUGGAAUUCAGAAAUAUUUUAUCACGAAGAUGAAGCGGAAUUGCAUCAAGAGCAACGGCGCCACAGCCAACAGCACCAAGUCAUGCAGUACCAAGGCCAGGUGAGCCGCUGCCCGGGCCACGGACUGGGCCACGGGCCACGCCGCCGGGCAGGGGCUGAGGUCUGGAGAGAGGGCGCUGAGUGCUGGUGUGUGUCGGACACAAGGCAGCAGGCGUACCUGCCGUGCACAGCUGUCCGGGAACUCCCCCACGCACGCGGUCACCAAGCUCUGCUCAUCCGAGUCAGCGUGGACCUGGUGCGUCUGAGUUAGUGUGGACCUGGCACGUCCAACUUAGUGAGGUGUCGCUCCCCCUCUUCGUGGAGGAACGACACAGGACCCUGCGCUGUUCUUUCGUCUGCUCGGCCCUCCCCGGGUUUGCUGCUGGUUCUUCCCGGGUUGGCUACUAUCCCUUCCACCUCCGUGGAAGGGCAGUUCCCCCUGGCCGCAUUCCCCACUUCCGCAGGGGAGCGGCACACCGCCGGCCGGCUCUCUGGGGGCUGCACGGGUUCCCUUAGAUGUUCCCCAUAGAUGUUCCUGGUGCAUGCCGUCUCUCUCCCCCCUUAUAGUCCUCCUCCGCCAAUCCCAACUCGGCUGCCCACACGCCGAGUAUGCUGCUCUCCAAUCAGGAGCAAGUCCUACAGUUUAUUGGUUGAACUGGAGGCAGCUGGGCAGAAGCUGUUUUCUCCUCUCCCAGCGCCAUAUUGUAGGAGAGCAGAUGCAUAGAAUAAGUCUUAAUUCCAGUAACUUAGUCUAGUCCGAGCCGCUCCCCACAGAGGAGAGCAGAUGCAUAGAAUAAGUCCUAAUUCGAGUAACUUAGUCUAGUCCGGAUUGCUCCCCACAGUGAGGACCUGGCAUGUCCAACUUAGUGAGGACCUGGCACGUCCAACUUAGUGAGGACCUGGCACGUCUGUGUUAGCAUGGACCCUGGUGCGUCUAAGUUAGCAUGAACCUGGCGUGUCCGUGUUAGCAUGGACCUGGCGCGUCUGCGUUCAUCUGUACUUGGUGUGUCCGUCUUAGCGUGGACCUGGCGUGCCCAAGUUAGUGUGGACCUGGCGUGUCUGUGUCAGCAUGACCUGGUGUGCCCGAGUUAACGUGGACCUGGCACAUCCGUGUUAGUGUGGACCUGGUGCGUCUGUGUCAGCGAGGACCUGGCGCGUCUGUGUUAGUGAGGACCUGGCACAUCCGUGUCAGUGAGGGCCUGGUGCGUCUGUGUCAGCGAGGUCCUGGCGCGGCCGUGUCGGCGAGGGCCUGGCGCGGCCGUGUCGGCAUG
rnacentral:lncRNA from 1 species